CUAACUUAGAGAUUGUUAAAAAUCUAGUAGUUAUUUUAAUAAAUAUUUAUUUAUUUUGUAUAUCAUGAAUUUUAUUAUUCCUUUAUGUUCAUUAUUACAGGUUUGAUAUAUUUAAUAUUUGACAGCAGUAUAAGAUACCUGGGAAAAUGAUCGAAGAUCAUUUUCAUGGCGCCCAUGAUUAGUUAGUUUUAUUUAUUUUGUUCGUUUUUAGUCAUUAUUCAUCUCCAUUCAUUUUCAGUACAUUAUUCUUAUUUUAUUAUUUCAUCUUUUAGUCAUCAUUACUAUCUAUAUAGAGCUACUGUUCUUCGACAGGCAUGCAAACGAGCCGUAUCCAUCCUUGAGUGUCAAGUCUCUCUCUACAUCUAUGUCCCAUUACUUAGUCUUUUCAUUUUCUUUUUCAUUACUUCUGUUGGAGUAUAUCACUCCAACAGAAGUUCAUUUUUGUUACACUAGUAGUAUUUAAUUUUUUCAUUUUUGUUACACUGGCUGCCCAAUGCGUGGUGCCAACCGUUUUAUGGUUCUAAGACAGUAGUUCUUUUAGUUCAAUUUUCUUUUAUUGGAAUUUUCUGUUUUAUUAACUUUUUGAUAUCUUUGUAUACAUGUUACUUCUGAUUUAUUUUUGGUCUUUAAAACUUUACGAAUACUAAACAGGUAGACUUAUGCUGCUUUUGGUUUUGAUUAGUUGAUUUCGAUACCUCAUUUUUAGUUUUAGUGGUACAGCUCAUAUUUUGGUUUGAAUUUUGUAUUUUUAUUGGAAACUUAUUUGUGUAUUUAGAAUGAGUAUACAUGACUGUCAUUAUGUUCUAUUAUUAUGGAUUUUUAGUCCUUCUACCAAUGGUAGUAUGUUUGCACGUACAAUUAAUUAUUGACUAUAUGCAUAUAUUUUUUUUCUAGUGUGGUUAUAUUUUCCACCUAACUAGAAAUUAUUUUCAGUAUUUAGGUAUUUUAUUUACUUUAUUGAUUUGAUUAUUUAUAUAUUUUGCUGGCAUUUUGAUUUGUUGGUGUGUCGCUAAUAUUUUCUCCAUAUGUAUCUUUGUCUUACAAACUUUAGAUUAUAUUUUAUAUUUGUUAUUUUUGAUAUUUGGGUUGUUUGGUAAGACAGGCACACACCACAAAGCAAUAUCAGUCCAGAACAUUAGCUUCUAUACAUGAUACGUUGAAUUCGCAUGGUUCGGAUGAUUACAGAUGUUCAUCCAUAAUUUAUUUUCUUUAAUUGGUAGUGUUAAACAUUACAAUGAUAAAUUGUAUAGUUAAGUAGUUCCAUUAUCCAUCUCAGCUCCUAGUUUUGUUAAUUUUGAGAAUAAUAUAUCAACAUGGGUACUAUAUACCGCUUAUAUAAAUCAGACAGAUACUUUAGGUUGAGAUUUUAAUAUAAAUUCUUUAUUAGUUAGAAACAUUGAUACUAUUUUUCUAUUAAGUUAUAGAACAAUCUUCAGAAGAAGAUUACCUUAACAGUGUUGUUCAAGCUAAUCUCUUCUUCUGUUUGUCUUUAGCUUAGCUCAAUCGUUAGUAUGGUUAGAAAUUUUAGUCUGAUUUUUUUUUACCAUCUGAUAAUGCAGGUACCUACAUACAUUGCUUGAUUUCAUCUUUGGCUUUGUUGUUGAUGACUUUUAAUUUAUUACUUAUUGGUUUAAGUAUUAUGUAGUACUUUAUGUAUGAGUUUAUUUUUUUUUGGUAUUAGGUAUGGUGCAUUUUAAUUAUUAUUAUGAGUCAAUAUUAUUAAUUGCUAAUCCUGUCAGGAUUAUACAAUUAAUAAGAACUUCACUUGUAUUUUUGUCUAGUUUUUGCACACCUAACCCCUAAGUUAGAAGGGUUGUUGAGUAUUAUAUAUUUAUAUAUUUGGAUAGGUAAGCUCAUACAAGUACUCUUGUUUAAUAUGGAUAUUAUUAUGGAACUGUAUGUUAUGCACUACUUAUUUCAGGUUAUGUGUUAUAUUAUUUUGAAUAUUUGAUUACUUACUAAUUUUUUUAUUAUUUUUAUAUCUUAUUAUUGAAUUUGCCAUAUUGGAAAGAUGUGGUUUUUAAUUUGUUAUUGGGUUACUCUAUUAACAUUAUUUGUCUCCAAUAUCUUAAACACUUUAUAAUAAUUUAUAUCCUUCUAUCCUACACAGUAUGAUUCCGGAAUUAGUUUGGAAUUUUGAUGUAAGUAUGUAUGAAUUCUUGAGUCUUUCAUAUUUCUUCUUAGACACUAGUCUGUUGAUGCUCAAAGUAGGUGAAUACGUGGGUUCGAAGUUCAGCAAGGCGCCAUUGCUAUCCGAUUUCGCAAUCUAUGUCUUUCAUUGCAGAGUAGACAGAUGUUUAUCUAUCAUAAUAUUUCUGGUCAGGAAAUGCCUGCAGCAUGUCCUAACUAUUCUUGUCUAAUUAGUCCAAUUAUUCCAGUUACAUAUUUACAAUUUGAUAGGGAAGUAUUUAGUUUAUAUUUUAUCUCGUACUUCAUAGUAUGUUUGUUGUUGAAUAUCCCUAUACGCAGUAGGUUUGUUAAGUCAGUAUUUGGAGUGUUUAGACAAAUGAGUUGUUCAUCAGAGUAUAUUCCCACUUCUUUCCUUAGGCAUUAGUUGCUAUUCAGAUUCUGGAAUAUUUCCUGAAUAAUUCCACGUAUGUGAGAACGCAUGAAUUUGCAGUUUUAUUUAAAAUUGUGCUCGUUCUCGUCAAUUUUUUUUGCCUAUCACUUAUCAUAGUGUCAUAGAACUUACGAGUUCAUCAUGUAUUCUUUUUCUUUCUUACUUAUUCUUACGUUAUUAGUACUUUAUCUGUGUCUGGUUAUUCUCAUACAUCUGUUGUAGCAACAUGCUAUAGUUCGCGAAUACCAGCAUGAAUUAAGUUAUGUAUUUUCUAGAAUACUUUAGUCAAUACACUUUAGGUAUUUAUCUUACCCUUGAUUUAGUUUGGUUACCUCUCUGUUACUUAGUCUGUUAGUAACUUUUUUUCUGACUUAUUUUGGAUUACUUAGUUUAGAUAGGUUCAUAUUACCGGAUGAGGGUGUAUGUAGACCUAAUUUAUUUAUUUUGUUCAGUAUUAGUUACCAUUGGAUCCAAUAAUUUAGUUUAUUUAGUAUUAGUAAGAAUUGGUCCAUAAAUUUGCCUGAUCGUUCUUCUUUGGAUAUACUCCUAUAUAAAUCUGGUGUCCAUUGAUAGUCCGAUUCUGGAUAAGUGUCCGAUUCUUCAUUUAUUUUGUGUAUUUGGUUGGAUAGGUUCGUAUUACCGGAUGUGGGUGUACGUAGACCUGAUCUGUUUAUGUGGUUUAGUAUUGGUGUGAAUUGGUCCAUAAAUUUGCCUGGUCGUUCUUCUUUGGAUAUGCCUUUUAUGAAUCUGGUGUCCACUGAUAGUUCGACUUUGGAUUAAGUGUCCGAUUCCACAUCUACUUUGGUUAUUGAGUUUUGGAUUCCUUUGGUAUGUUUAUUAUUGGUAUUAUUUGACAUUAGUGAGAGUUGUUCCAUAAAUCUUCCUGAUUGUUCUUCUCUGGAUAUACUAUUAUGAAUCUGGUGUCCAUUGUUAGUUCAAUUUUGGAUUAAGUGUUCAAUUCUUUACUUAUUUUAGUUACUGAUUUUUUUUUAUUCACUUUGGUACAUUUACUUUUGAUAUGGUUCGAAUUUGCUCACACCUUUUCCUGGUUGUUCCGUCCUUGGAUAUAUCCUUUAUAAAUCUGAUGUCCAUGGAUAGUUCAAUUUUGGUUUUAGUGCCCAGUUCGACACUUAGCAUUAUUAUGAACUUUAGUGCAAUAUUUAGUUCUGUUUUGACUUUUAAGCAAUAUUAUGUCAAUAUUUGGUAGCAGAGAGUAACAGUAACAUUUUAGUAUGAAUUUGAGUCAUAUAUUUAUUUUUCCUUGAUCAUUAGUUUAUAUUUAGAAGUAAUCUUGCGAAUCAACGUGGAUUGUUAGACUAUUGUAAAUUUAGUUGUUAAUAUUUUGAAGUUUAGAAAAAAAAAAUUUUAUGGAUAAAAUUUUUUUUCCCGAGUAGAAGGGGAUUGUAACGGUCACGUUACAAAAUUAGCUCUUUAAUUAUUAUUAUAAUUAUUUUUCCUCGGUCUCCAUUUAAAUUCUCUAAUUUCUCGUAUAGGACUACUGGGGUGACGUCAUACCUCGGUGAUGGAACGUACUCCACCUAUCGAGAAUGAUUUCGUUUUCUGAGAGAGUUUGACGUUUACCUUGGCGGAGAAGCGCCUCUCGUUCUUUACUUGACUGUUGGCUGUUGUGUCGAAUAGAGGUACCAUAUAGAAUGGCGGAUGAUUUCAUCCAACUUAUUUUAUAACAUCAAGCAAUUUAAGGUAAAGUAAAAAGUUACCAGCAAGGGUUGUCGAGUUAGGGAGACAUGUGUGUGACAACUCCUGUUGGAGCCUAAUAGGAAUCAUUCGCCAUUUAGGAGAAACCCUACCAUGAAGUCGUAGACCUUAUUUGACCACCUAGGGAAACCACUACAGCCACAGUCAAGUCAUCAUGGGAAUACGUCUUUUUUGGAACAAGCUAUGGGAGCGUUCCAGCUCAAUUUUCGUCUUGGCACCUGGGCCUACAGGAGUCAUGGGGUCGCUCCAUCCUGGUGCAUCAUUUUCUAGGAUGCAACCGCAACCUCGUUUGGGAACAUUUAGUGAGGUGUUUUAGUAACUAUUGGUUUUUUUAUAUUACAGACUAUCUGUUAAAUACACUAUGUUUUUUUCCAGAUUUAGGUUACCUCUGGUUUUUUUUUUGACAUAUUUGUAUAUUAGAUUAUUUGGUUCCCAAACUUUGUAUCUACGGUAACUUCUUGUGCACAGGAAUAAGCCUAGAGAAAAUUAGGUUUUUAAUACUUUAUUAUUGCUUUGAUAUUGGUUUAUGUAAUUCGGGUAAAUUUAUUUUUUAAUAUUACUAGCUUGUUUCCCAAAUAUUUUACUGUUAUUCGCUUUAUUCCAUUUGUUCGGUUAAUUUAGGUCAUCGUCGGUAUUUAUCUCAACUUCAUUUCUACUUUAGUCAAUUGUAUAUUUAACUUUAUAUAUUCAUUAUUGUAUUUUCCCUUAGUGAGGCUUGGGCCUAUUUAUUUGUAGUAUUUUCAUCUUUGUCAGUUUCCUUUAGUUGUACGUAGCAGGCGUACUAUAACCAUUUGGUAGAAGACUUAUGUAAUUUUGUACCCUAUAUAUAUGUAAGAGGUAUUUAAGUUUGUAACAGAUAACAUUAUUGUUGUUAUCUUUAAAAUAUAUAUAUAGCUUCUUGUAUAACUUAUGUCAUUUUAGAGUUACAUGAUAUAUGCUUGUCUAACUCAGAGAUUGUUAAAAAUCUAGUAGUUAUUUUAAUAAAUAUUUAUUUAUUUUGUA